AGGACGAACGCUGGCGGCGUGCUUAACACAUGCAAGUCGAACGGAAAGGUCUCUUCGGAGAUACUCGAGUGGCGAACGGGUGAGUAACACGUGGGUGAUCUGCCCUGCACUUCGGGAUAAGCCUGGGAAACUGGGUCUAAUACCGAAUAUGACCACGGGAUGCAUGUCCUGUGGUGGAAAGCUUUUGCGGUGUGGGAUGGGCCCGCGGCCUAUCAGCUAGUUGGUGGGGUCACGGCCUACCAAGGCUACGACGGGUAGCCGGCCUGAGAGGGUGUCCGGCCACACUGGGACUGAGAUACGGCCCAGACUCCUACGGGAGGCAGCAGUGGGGAAUAUUGCACAAUGGGCGCAAGCCUGAUGCAGCGACGCCGCGUGGGGAUGACGGCCUUCGGGUUGUAACCUCUUUCAGCAGGGACGAAGCGAAGUGACGGUACCUGCAGAAGAAGCACCGGCCAACUACGCGCCAGCAGCCGCGGU
rnacentral:rRNA from 1 species